AAUAUUGGGCAAUGGACGGAAGUCUGACGCAGCGACGCCGCGUGAGCGAAGAAGGCCUUCGGGUCGUAAAGCUCUGUCCUUGGGGAAGAAGGUCUUCGGACUUGACGGUACACAAGAAGAUAGCCCCGGCCAACCACGCGGCAGCAGCCGCGGCAAUACGUAGGGGGCGAGCGUUGUCUGGAGUUACUGGGCGUAAAGGGGGUGUAGGCGGCCCGUUAAGACAGAUGUGAAAGGACACGGCUUAACCGUGGGAUUACAUUUGAAACUGGAGGGCUUGCGUGUCGGAGAGGGUAGUGGAAUUCCCAGUGUAGCGGUGAAAUGCGUAGAUAUUGGGAGGAACACCAGUGGCGAAGGAGACUACCUGGACGAUAACUGACGCUGAGGCACGAAAGCUAGGGGAGCAAAC
rnacentral:rRNA from 1 species